rnacentral:lncRNA from 1 species
CACACACACUAGAAGAAAGAAAGAACCGGCAGAGAAGAAGAAAAAGGGAAAGAAAAAGAAGAAGAAAAAGAAAAAGGAAAAAGGAAAAAAGGAAGAAGAGAAAGAAAGGAAAGAGGUAGUUCAAGGUUCAUUUCUAUUUUUCCUCUCUUUUUAUUUUCUUCAAGAGGUAGAUAUAUUUUAUAUUAAAUUCUAGGGUUUUAUUUUGACUCGGAAAUUUUCAGAUUUUUUAGAGGAAUACUACUUGGAGCUCAAGUUAUUGAUUCUUGAAUUUCUAUCUACACUAAGGUAAGGAGAUAUUAAUUUUUUUGGGCAAACCCUAGUUUUUAAAUUUGAUGAUUGAGCAUGGAUUAUUUGUGGAAAUGAUUACAUUAAUGGAAUUAUUCACUUGGAAGAAUGAUUUUGGGGAAUGAUAGAUAUAUUAAUUUGGUUGUAUUAUGAUUUCUUGUUUUUCACUAAAAUGAAAGGGACAAAUAUUCUUGUGAUUGUAAUGAAGUUAAAUUUGGAUGUGGUAUAUGAUUGUGAAGGUAUUAUAAAGUGAAAAUUAGCUUCGAUUGAUUAAAGGAAAUUUAGAAAAAUUUCGCAAGUCUAGGGGAAUUUAGUUUAAUUAUUAUAUCAUUAGAGAUUAAAUGUUUCUUUAUUUUAAUAGUGAUUAAAUUAGUUAUUUGUAACGUAUUACAGGUGGUGACGAAGAAUUGGAAAAACUUACCGACCGGCCUAGUCUGUAGCUCGUAUUGAGUGAGUGGAUAAAACUUAUUUUUUAGAAAUAAGUCUUCUUUAAAUUUUAAAGUUAUUUAUUUUAUAAAGUUGACUUCAUAGCAUGAUUUUUAGAAUAAAAUGAAUUUUAUUAUCAAUUGCUUUUAAAGUUAAAUUCAGUUCAGUUAAAUUAUUUUAGUAGCAUGUUAUAUUCUUAUUACAUGUUUCAGCAUAUUUAAAAUUAUUUUCUAAAAACCACGAGAAAGUUCCCAAGUGAUUUUACCCUCGUCUGCACUGGUGUGAAUAUGUUUCCAUAGUGUAUGACUUCAUAUGAUUAUUUUACCCACUCCGCGCUGGUAUGAAUGUGUUUCCACAGCGUAUGAUCAGUAUAGUGAUUUUACCCGCUCUGCACUAUCGUGAAUGUGUUUCCAUAGUGUAUGACCAGAUUAUCAGAGGUUUUUGGGACCCACUCUCGUACACACAUAGGCUUUGGGCCGUGUACUAGGGUGAUUAGCCUUUGGGGCAGCUUUGCGUAUGUAUGACCAGAUUAUCAACUAUCAGAUUAUCAGAUUUGAAUGACUUUGUCUUAUACAUCGAGAUUACUCUGUAUAUGAGUAAGGAUAUUCAUUGGGUACUCUUUAUAGUGUGAUUUUUCAGUAUUUAUUCAGUUCUCAGAUUUCAGAUUAUGGAAUUCAGUUAAUACAGUUUUUAGAAUAAAGCUUUCAGCUUAUAGUAUUGACCAGUAGCAAUAUUUCAUAGAUUUUCAUGAAUAUCAGAUUAUUCGUUAACUUUACAUCUACUUAUCUAGAAUUAAGAACAAAGAAUUGUAUGAUGCAAUCAUGUUUUGGUUUUAAAAGUGUUACCAGAUUUCAGAAUUUUUCAAAGAUUUAAUAAAACUAGAAUUUUCAGAAAAUUUGUAGAAAUGGAAAAAGUAUAUUUAUUCACAAAUUAUCCACUCACUGUGUUAUAGGCUCACAUUUUUUUUACAAUUUCUCUUAUCAGAUAGUAGCUGAGUUGAGCACUACUGGGCCAGUUGAUCUAUCGAGUUGAACUAUAAAUUGUCAAGCAUUGUAUGACUCAUCUUAUCAGUUUAAUAGUUUAUACUUUGGAAAAGACACCUCUUUUGGUCAGAAAUUAGUUUCAUGUUUUGGGCCUGCUAUGUUUUGUAUAUAUUAUACAUUUUGGGUACUAUGGUUUAUAAAUUGUUGCAAAGCUCAAAUUGCCAGUGUUGUAUUUGAAUAAUUGAUUUUCUAUGAGCUAGUGUACCCUAUUUUAAACUAUAUGUAUCUGUUUGGGAUAUUGAAUUAUAUAUUUCAGGUGGUUUUAGUCUAUAAUUCAGGGGGAACUCUGCCAAAAUUUUUACAAAGCAUAUCAUAGUCAAUACAAGUCAAUGUUGCCUUAAUGGUGGGUCCGGCACUUAACUGGCAUCUACCAUCGGCGCACAACACGUGUCGGGUCUAUUAGGAUGAUUCGGGGUGGGUCGUGUCAGGUUAGGUCCAAAAUGUAUUGGCAAAGUACCGCGUCCAAAAUGCAGUUUAUCGAGUUGUAAUAGGGUUAAGUUGUGUGGGGUUGAGAAUGUCUUUGGAAGGAAUCAAAGUCAACUCAAGAAGAUCAAGACGAGGUAAAAACCAUCCUUUGGCCACCAAGCAUACCGCUUGAGCAGUUUUCGCUGUGGUCAACCUCCUAUUGGGUGCCUACAGUCUUCUUUAGUGAACAUGUGACUGGUUGAAACCCUAGAUCCCGAUUUUGAGACCUUUUACCAUCCCAAACAACCUCAAACUCUCUAUCUAUAUUAUAAAUACUUAAGGCGCAAUUCAUCUCAAAACAUGAGUUGAGCCAUUAUUAAUCAAAGAGAACACAUUGUUGAAGAUCAAACAUUGAUUCUAUAAUUCUCUUGCCUCAACCACAAGAUCAAACUCUAAAAUAUUACAAGAUCAAAACACCACUAAAUUCUUUUCCAAAGAUCCCUUAGAGUUCUGAAAGUCCUAAGAGGUGACCGGAGUUCUGGUUCAUGAAGAAAGAGUUCGUUUUUGGUGAUCUACGAGGAGAAAAAAAGAUCCAAAGUUUUUGGGAUUGGUGAUGGGGUGCAUGCAUAACCAAAGAGUUCUUCGGUGAUUAAAGUUGGAGGUCAAUGUCUGCUAAGAUUUAGUUGUGUGUGUACAGAUCCUGUAAAUUUAGAACCUUUUUAGCGGAUUAUUUACCGGUAAGUUUGUCCGGAAAUUUUUUUCUUGAAGAUUUCUUCAUUCAUUGGCGUGCUUUAUUUUUCUGCAUUGAUAUUAUUGCGUGAUUGAUAUGUAGGAUUUAAAUUGUUUUCAAUUCAUGUAGAUACCAUAAUUUGUGAUUUGUUGAAUAUUAUUGUUUGUUAAUUUUUAAUUUCCCAUAUUACACUUAUUCAUCCCGUCUAGGUGUUUGUUUGGUCGAACAUUAUUUCAGUAGGGAAAGCUCGAGGUAGGAAAAUUUAUUUGAUUACUAGCAUGUGAAUGAAUUGAAGCAAUUUCACUGUUGAAAAAUGCAUUUUGAUUCCUUUGAUGCAAUUUAAACCCUAAGAGAUCUUCAUUUGAAAGUAUUGUUAAUAAAUUUGUUCUAGAUAUCAUAGCUGCCAAUCUAUUGUAGGCAAGGUGAUAUGAUCCAGGAGUCGAGCCCGACAAAGGCAAGUGCGAGACGAGAGAGACGAGACCCGUUGAUAGUCGAUGGCGGACAAAUGACGCGAUUAAGGGCAAAGCAAGUGAAACAAGCGAUGGGAUUGCUCGUUCAAGAAACCAUUGAUGGAACCAUAUUCGGGACUCAAAAUGGAGCAACUUUCAUGUUUGGGUCGAAGGCCGAAUCAACUUGGAUCAAUUUGUUAUCAAGCGACGAAAGCGGAGGCUGAAGAUAACACCAUGCGGCCGCACAGGCAAAACCACAUGCGGCCGCACAAAUGCAUACCAAAAAUCAAAAGUACAAUUUCAGUUGAACCAUGUGACAACAUGGAUUUAUACCAUGCGGCCGCACAGGCCAAAAAUUUGGCGAAUUUUCAAAUUUUGGCAAUUUUCUAUAUUUUGUUAGAUUUUGACUCUUUUCCAUAAUUUGGAGAUUAUACUCGAAUUUUGCACGAUUUUUAUCUAGUUUUUAGGUUUAGUAUAAAUAGGAGUUUCCAUUCAAUUGUUAAAAACUUUUGAUAUUAUUGAUAUUGAAUUAAAGUGAGGCGUAUUGUCUUCUCUUCAUCGUUUUUCAUUGAACAAUUUCAAACUUAUCAGGUGAUAACUUGUGGCAUUCAAACAACCGGAUUUAAUUCUUGGAUUGCGUGAUCAAGGGGUCUUUCAAGCGUCGUUCUUGUUGAGUUUUUUGGUUCGACUUUCUUUUGGGUUAAUCCUAAACUCUUGAAUUAAUUUAACUUUCUUGAGUUCGUCAAUCUCGUUGUGGGUUUCGUAGUCAACGUUGCUACGGGGUUCGCAUCAAUUGGUAUCAGAGUUUUGGCUCCAAAUUAAUUGAAGGUUAUAUCUUUUCUUUAUUUGUUUGGGUCGUUAAUUUUUCUUUCUUAAUUUUUCUUCAUUCUUGUUUUCUUUUCAUCGUUUUGUUGAGUUGUUGGUAGUUUACUCAUCUUCUUUCAUCAAGGAGUAAAAAAAAAAAAAAGAGUACAAAAAUGAAAAAAAAGGGUUACUGUACAUUCGAGGUACUGUUUAUCUCCAAGUAUUGUUCACAAAAAAUAAAAAAAUAUAUAUAUAAAAAAAAUUUUGAUAUCGCUGUUUGAUUUUGUGUUUUUUUUCUACCAACAACAAUACCUACAUUGUGUUUGAUUUUUGGGAUAUUCAAUUGGGUUCGAGUCUGUCAUUCUUCUUUUGAGUCUAUUCACAUAUUCGUGUCAAAAUAUUCAUCUAUUCCACUUAUUCAAAUCCUUUGAGUCUCGUGAUCUUUGAUUAAUAUUCAAUUUGUUUGAAUUGCCGGUAAAACAAUUGAUUUAGUUCACUUGGUUCUUUGAAGUGCUUGGAGGGAGACUUUGAGUGGUAAAAUGCCGAAUGGUGAGUUUAAUAGAGGGAAAAAGCCAUAGAGAGUGUUUUCCGAGUGAAAUCUUUGUGAGGUAUAAAAAAAUUGUGUGAUAUGAUGUCGGAAAGAGAAGGUUCUAAUUCAAGCCGAAAUGGUAAUGACAACAAUGCAUCGGAGGAUAUGAUAAGGAGGUUUGAAAGGGUACUUGGUAAUAUUAGGGAGAAGGUGGAUAGGCAAGGGGAAUGGAUGGCACAAAUGGGUACUACAAUUGCUAAUAUUAGCCGGGGAAAAGUGGAGAUGUCUAAUGCUUGGGGGCCGGGUAGGCGUGAAUCUAGGAGAGGAAGGCGAGAUGAGUAUCGUAGUGAUGAGGAUGAUUUUGAUAAAAAUGACAUUGAUAUGGGUCGAGCGAGGCAUAGAGGCGAUAGGAUGGAAAGACAGGGUAGGAAUAACUUAGGAGAUGAAGUAGAUGGAAAUUUGGGGAGUAUUAAAAUGACUAUUCCGCAAUUUAAGGGGAGAAGCGAUCCAGAAGCAUAUUUAGAUUGGGAAAGGAAGGUUGAGAUGAUUUUUGAGUGCUAUAAUUAUUCGGAGGAGAAAAAGGUAAAAUUGGCGGUGCUUGAAUUCAUGGAUUACGCGAUAUCUUGGUGGGGUCAAGUACUUAUAUCACGGCGUAGGGGUCGGGAAAGGCCAAUUAGCACUUGGGAUGAGUUGAAGAUGUUGAUGAAAAGGAGGUUUGUUCCGAGUCACUAUUAUAGGAAAAUCCAUCAAAAAUUGCAAGGUUUGUAUCAAUGAUCGAAAAGCGUAGAGGAUUAUCACAAGGAGAUGAAAAUUCUUAUGAUUCGGGCUAAUGUGGAGGAAGAUCGGGAAGCUACCAUGACACGGUUCUUGAAUGGGUUAAAUUGGGAUAUUGCAAACGUUGUAGAGUUGCAACAUUAUGUGAAAAUCGAGGACAUGUUAAAUGUGGCAAUGAAGGUCGAGAGACAAUUGAAGAGGAAGGGGACAUCUAGGCAACCGUUAGGUACUUCGGCUCCUAAUCCAACAUGGAAAUCGAAGUGGGAUGACAACAACAAAAACGGGACAGCACCUAGAGGUAAAAAUGAUUGGCAAAAGGGCAAGGAUGAAAAUGCUAGCAAACCAAUAUCAAAAUCGGAGGCACAACCGUCGCGCAAUCGGGACAUCAAAUGUUUUAGGUGUUUGGGAACGGGGCAUACUGCUUCUCAAUGCCCAAACAAACAACGGGCGAUAGUGUUGCGGGAUAAUGGAGAGACUGUGAGCGAUAGUGAUGGCGAGUUUGAUGACAUGUCGGCGUUGGAGGGUGUUAGUGAAGAAGAAAAAGUUGAAGUGCCGGUUGAGGAUCUAUUAGUCACAAGGCGAGCUCUCACUACUCACGUCAAAGCGGAUGACUUGGAGUUGCAACGGGAGAACAUUUUCCAUACUCGAUGACACAUCAACAAUAUGGUAUGUAGUGUUAUAAUUGAUGGUGGUAGUUGCACUAAUAUAGCUAGCGUAUCUCUUGUAGAAAAAUUGGGUUUAACAUUGUUGAGACACCUGAGACCUUAUAACCUGUAAUGGUUGAAUGAGAGUGCCGAGGUGAGGGUGAAUCGAAAGGUGUUACUUAAUUUGUCAAUUGGGAGUUAUGAGGAAGAGUUAGUGUGCGAUGUGGUGCUAAUGCAAGCGGGACAUAUUUUAUUGGGAUGACCAUGACAAUACGAUAGGAAGGCUAUGCAUGAUGGGUACAAAAAUCGAUAUAGUUUCAUUAAGGAUGGAAGGAUCAUUACUCUUGUGUCAUUAACACCGGCGCAAGUCUAUGAAGACCAAUUAAAAUUGAGAAGUGAGGAAGAGAGGAGAGCAAAAGAGUUAGAAAAAAUGAGAGCAAAUAGUGAGUUGGAGAAAAAGAGAGAAAAUGUUGAGAUAGCCAUUAGAGAGAAAAAGAGAGAACAAUCACAAGAGAGAAAGGAAAGAGAGUGCCCCGAGAGAAGAGAGAAAACACGAGUGAAUUUCUUUGCAAAGGAGAGUGAUUUGAGGAUGGCGGUAGUUGAGAGAAGAGAGAUGAUCUUGUUCGUUUAUAAGGAAUUACUCCUCAAUUUUGAGGAAACUAACCCACCCCUCCUUAGUUUGGCUAAGUCUUUGUUGCAGGAAUUCGACGAUGUAUUUCCGAAGGAUGCACCAAGUGGAUUGCCGCAUAUUCGAGGCAUUGAACAUCAAAUUGACUUCAUACCCGGAACUGUCAUUCCAAAUCGACCGGCUUACCGAAGUAAUCCUGAGGAGACUAAGGAGUUUCAAAGGCAAGUGGAGGAGUUAAUGAGUAAAGGAUACGUGAUGAAAAACAUGAGUCAUUGUGCGGUAUCGAUUUUGCUUGUACCAAAAAAGGAUGGAACAUGACGAAUGUGCGUGGAUUGUAGAGCUAUCAACAACAUAACGGUAAAGUAUCGUCACCCUAUACCUAGGUUAGAUGACAUGCUUGAUGAAUUACAUGGUUCUUGCAUAUUUUCUAAAAUUGAUUUAAAAAGCGGGUAUUAUCAAAUUCGUAUGCAGGAGGGUGAUGAAUGGAAAACAGCUUUUAAAACUAAAUAUGGUUUAUAUGAAUGGUUGGUUAUGCCGUUUGGACUCACAAAUGCACCUAGCACUUUUAUGCGUUUAAUGAAUCAUGUUUUACGUGCUUUUAUAGGAAAAUUUGUUAUGGUUUAUUUUGACGACAUAUUAAUCUAUAGCAAAGACCUAGGAGAGCAUUUGGAAUAUUUAAAAUGUGUGCUAAUUAUUUUAAGGAAAGAACAACUCUAUGCUAAUCUUAAGAAAUGCAAAUUUUGUAUGGAUAGAGUUAUAUUUCUUGGAUUUGUGGUUAGUACUAGUGGGGGUAGAAGUAGACGAUGAAAAUAUAAAAGCUAUUAGAGAUUGGCCGACACCUAAAAGCAUAACGGAAGUUAGGAGUUUUCAUGGUUUGGCUAGUUUUUAUAGGCGAUUUGUAAAGGAUUUUAGCACUAUCACUGCACCACUCACGGAAGUAGUUAAAAAGAGUGUAGGUUUUCAUUGGGGUGAUGAACAAGAACUUGCAUUUAAUACUAUUAAAGGUAGAUUGUGUGAAGCACCUGUUUUGGCAUUACCUAACUUUGAUAAAACAUUCGAGAUUGAGUGUGAUGCAUCAGGAAUAGGGAUUGGAGCAGUUUUAAUGCAGGAUCGGAGGCCUAUUGCAUACUUUAGCGAGAAAUUGAGUGGAGCUGCUUUAAAUUAUCCUAUAUAUGACAAAGAACUUUAUGCACUUGUUCGAGCUUUGGAGACUUGGCAACAUUAUCUAUGGUUGAAAGAGUUCGUAAUACACACCGAUCAUGAGUCACUAAAACACUUGCGGGGAUAAGGUAAAUUGAACAAGAGGCAUGCUCGGUGGAUGGAAUUCAUUGAGACCUUUCCAUACGUCAUUCGGUAUAAACAAGGUAAGAAAAAUAUGGUGGCAGAUGCGUUGUCGCGAAGGUAUGUAUUGCUAACUACUCUUGAUUCUAAGUUACUUGGGUUUGAACAUAUUAAGGAAUUCUAUGAAAAAGAUGUUGAAUUUUCGAGUAUUUAUUUGUCAUGCAUAAAAGGGGCGGUUGAUAGGUUCUUUAGGUAUGAGGGGUAUUUAUUUAGGGAAAAUAGGUUAUGUGUUCCUAACUGUUCUAUUCGAGAAUUAUUAGUAAGGGAGGCACAUAGUGGUGGAUUGAUAGGACACUUUGGGGUUCAAAAGACUUUAGAUGUAUUGAAAGAGCAUUUUUAUUGGCUUAAAAUGAAAAGUAAUGUUGAGCGAAUUUGUAGUCGAUGUAUAGGUUGUAAAAAGGCUAAAUCUAAGGUUUUACCACAAGGUUUGUACACACCUUUACCUACACCUAGUGAGCCUUGGGUUGAUAUCUCGAUGGACUUUGUUUUGGGUUUACCUAGGACUAAGAGAGGUCGGGAUUCUAUUUUUGUGGUUGUAGAUAGGUUCAGCAAAAUGACACAUUUUAUACCAUGUCACAAAACUGACGAUGCCACGAACAUUGCUGACUUAUUCUUUAAAGAGAUUGUGCGUUUAUAUGGGGUUCCUAGAAGUAUAGUGUCGGAUCGGGAUGUCAAAAUUUUGAGUCACUUUUGGAGAGUUUUGUGGGGUAAGUUAGGCACUAAGUUACUAUUUUCCACAACUUGUCACCCACAAACAUAUGGGCAAACGGAGGUAGUGAAUAGGACUAUGAUACAAUUGUUACGCACAGUAAUCAGUAAAAAUUUGAAGAGUUGGGAGGAGUGUCUACCAUUUGUUGAAUUUGCAUACAAUCGAACUGUUCACUCUACUACGUCAUAUUCUCCAUUUGAAAUUGUAUAUGGUUUUAAUCCACUAACCCCUUUGGAUUUAAUUCCUUUACCUGUGAAUGAACGUGGUAGUUUAGAUGGCAAAAAGAAGGCGGAAUUGAUUAAGUCACUCCAUGAAAAGGUAAAAGCGCAAAUUGAAAACAAAAGUAAGUUGGUUGCGUCGCAGGCGAACAAAGGUAGGAAGCACGUGGCAUUCGAGUCAGGAGAUUGGGUUUGGGUGCACCUUAGAAAAUAGCGGUUUCCGGAGCAAACGAAGUCCAAGUUGCAACCGAGGGACGAUGGUCCAUUUCAAGUGAUUGAAAAGAUAAACGACAAUGCUUACAAGUUGGACCUUCCAGGUGAGUACAAUGUUUCGGCUACUUUUAAUGUAUCUGAUCUCUCUCUGUUUGAUGCAGGUUCAGAUUCGAGAACGAAUCCUUUUGAAGAGGGAGGGGAUGAUAUGAUCCAGGAAUCGAGCCCGACGAAGGCAAGUGCGAGACGAGAGAGACGAGACCCGUUGAUAGUCGAUGGCGGACAAAUGACGCGAUCAAGGGCAAAGCAAGUGAAACAAGUGAUGGGAUUGCUCGUUCAAGAAACCAUUGAUGGAACCAUGUUCGGGAUUCAAAAUGGAGUAACUUUCAUGUUCGGGUCGAAGGCCGAAUCAAUUUGGAUCAAUUUAUUAUCAAGCGACGAAAGCGGAGGCUGAAGACAACACCAUGCGGUUGCACAGGCAAAACCACAUGCGGCCGCACAAAUGCAUACCGAAAACCAAAAGUACAAUUUCAGUUGAACCAUGCGACCGCAUGGAUUUACACCAUGCGGCCGCACAGGCCAAAAAUUUGGCGAAUUUUCCAAGUUUGGUAAUUUUCCAUAUUUUGGAGAUUAUACUCGACUUUUGCACGAUUUUUACCUAAUUUUUAAGUUUAGUAUAAAUAGGAGUUUCUAUUCAAUUGUUAAAAACCUUUGACAUUAUUGAUAUUGAAUUAAAGUGAGGCGUAUUGUCUUUUCUUCAUCGUUCUUCAUUGAACAAUUUUGAACUUAUCAAGUGAUAACUUGUGGCUUUCAAAC